rnacentral:rRNA from 1 species
UACGUAGGGUGCGAGCGUUGUCCGGAAUUAUUGGGCGUAAAGAGCUCGUAGGCGGUUUGUCGCGUCGAAUGUGAAAUCUCAGGGCUCAACUCUGACAUUGCAUUCGAUACGGGCAGGCUAGAGUUCGGUAGGGGAGACUGGAAUUCCUGGUGUAGCGGUGAAAUGCGCAGAUAUCAGGAGGAACACCGGUGGCGAAGGCAGGUCUCUGGGCCGAUACUGACGCUGAGGAGCGAAAGCGUGGGGAGCGAACAGG